GACGAACGCUGGCGGCGCGCCUAACACAUGCAAGUCGAACGGAGUUAUUUGAAAGCUUGCUUUUGGAUAACUGAGUGGCGGACGGGUGAGUAACGCGUGAGUAACCUGCCUUAAAGAGGGGGAUAACGUCUGGAAACGGACGCUAAUACCGCAUAACAUACGGAUGUCGCAUGGCAACCGUAUCAAAGAUUUUAUCGCUUGAAGAUGGACUCGCGUCCGAUUAGCCAGUUGGCGGGGUAACGGCCCACCAAAGCGACGAUCGGUAGCCGGACUGAGAGGUUGAACGGCCACAUUGGGACUGAGACACGGCCCAG
rnacentral:rRNA from 1 species